rnacentral:rRNA from 1 species
AUUGAACGCUGGCGGCAUGCCUUACACAUGCAAGUCGAACGGCAGCACGGGAGCAAUCCUGGUGGCGAGUGGCGAACGGGUGAGUAAUAUAUCGGAACGUGCCCAGUCCGUGGGGAUAACGUAGCGAAAGCUACGCUAAUACCGCAUACGAUCUAUGGAUGAAAGCGGGGGGAUCGCAAGACCUCGCGCGAUUGGAGCGGCCGAUAUCAGAUUAGGUAGUUGGUGAGGUAAAGGCUCACCAAGCCGACGAUCUGUAGCUGGUCUGAGAGGACGACCAGCCACACUGGGACUGAGACA